AAGGCCAGAAAGCUAGAAAAAUCCGGCAAAGGAUUCGAUUUCUCUGCUCAAAAUCCACCUGAAAGGAGAGCAAUUUCCCACUGUGCUACUGGAAGCUUGGAGCAUUUUAUAAAGUUGCUCUCCCUUGGGUUUUUUUCACAAGAAUACCACGAUAGUUCCUCUAGUAGCCGUGGUUGGGUGACGGAUCGCGAUUGUGCACUACACAUCGCGUAUUCCUAGCCGCUGUCUUCUUGUAUGCAGCGUUUACGGAAAAGAGCGAUUGAACGAAGGUGGAGAUUGCCCUAACACAAGCUGUUAUGAGCGAUUCGAUUAGUAAUUCACUAUUCCUUUGUCGGAAUUUCCAAUUAUAUAUCCUCAAUUUGAUUUCUCUUGUGGUCUGUAUAACGAAAACAUAUGUCGAAAACUCCAGUAUCUAUUGGUAGAACUUGGAGGUUGUUAGGGUUUUUGGGAUUGCUACAUUUAUGCUUUUUUUUCAAAUUAUGUUUGACGGAAUUAAAAUUCAUGGUGAAAAUGAUAAUCUCCUUGUCCUUUCAUUUGGCUAGUUCACUAUCCCCGCAAGAAAUACCAAAGUAGUUGGCCUGCUAGUUUGAUUCAAUACCGAGUAGUUUUAGAAUGCCAUGUUGAAUGAGCAAAUUGGAUUCUCCAAAUUUGCAGCUGUUUUGCAUUGGAUAAGGUUUCAUGUAAAUAACUGAUUUAUUCUGACUUCCUAGGUAGAGAUGUCUAUGUCCAAAUAAUGCAUUUCACUUGCCAUGGGUGCUGUAUUCAAGCACGAAACUGACCUAACAAGGGUAGUAAUAGGCCCACUUCGCUCAGUUUUUUAGCUUGCUUAAUUUGACUGAACUUUCCACCUCAUACAAAGUUUUGAUAUCCAUGAGACCACCAAGUGUUUCCUAUAUGCAUAUCUUCUCCAAUGCAUUUAUUGGUUUCCCUUUUGUUCAUUUGUUAUGGACAUGUUUCUCUCACUGUUUUUGUCAUAUUUUUUUAGUGUUGAAACUACAAAGUUAUAAGCUACACAUCAAACGGAAGUGUUCAUGCCCACUGCAAAAAGGAAAAAGGCUUUGAAGGUCACGUGGACAGUUGGUUGUAGCAUAUCUUGUCUUACAAAUGCAUCUCAGUUAAUAAAGUUGAAUGCUAUGCUUGUUCUUUUGAUCAGAAUCCCUAUCCAGCCCUUUAAGUUUUGUCAGUGCCCAUUUUUUGUGCGACUCAAACGACUUUGAAGAAAGCCUAAUAAACUACUUUGAGGUGAAUUUUUAAUUUCCCUGAAGAUACGAAUUUAAAGGCUUGUCUGCUCCCCGAAAAUUUUUCUGUUAAAUCCAUACUUUUCUGUUCAUCCAUAGAUGUCUGAAAAAAAGUACUGGCUGGACUAGGAAGAGAAGUUGUAUAUCCGCACCUAUGUUGAGUGGCAGAAAAAUGGAAAGUGAGAGGCAACUUGGAGCACCUUAGCAAAUCACACUGCAAUGGUAAUGUACUUGACUCAAGCAUGCGGGGUAACUUACACUGGAACUCAAUUCCAGUCCAAGUAUUAUUAAGUGGUCGAUAAGUGGAGAUUGUUCAAACAUCUCCGGGGUGAUUGUGCCAAGCCAGAGACGGGGAUAGGAUGGGAUGAGAAACACAAAUGCUUCUUAGCCGGAGCAGAUCAAUGGGCAUAUUUGUACCAGGUAUGGUAUUCCUUUAUACCAUGAAUCGAUAUUGGCAAACGACUUCUGUUGUCUAUUAUUGGUAGAUGUCAAUGUAUGGUUAUAGUUGAUAGUUUAAAUUUGCGAACUUUUUUUGUGGUUGGAAAUUUGCAAUCCACGUUGGUUUUAAGGUGUGUGUUAUUGUAGCAAUUUAUUUGAUGCACUAACUUCAAUCUUCUGGGGUCGUUAAUAAACCAGUUUGAAAAAUGUUACAAAAUAUGAUCAUUCAAUUACUACUCUCAAAGAUGUUGUGAAAUGAAUGUGCCUUGGAAUUAUCCCAAACAAUGACAGUUCGACCAUGCUUUUAUUACUUCAAUCUUUUUGAUAGGGUGCAUUUUAGUAGAUUAUUUCGUUAAUAUUUCAUAAUUGUUUUGACUAAAUAUUGCACUAUUUGGAGGAUUCUACUUAGGUUUUGUGUUUGGUGUUAAUUGCAGAAAUUGGAGGAAGAAAGGUGCUAAAAAUCAAUAUUUCAGAAGACUUUCUGACAGUUAGACGUGGGCACGCCGAAGUCACGUCCCAGGACAGGAUUGUCGGGAUCGCACACACACGGGAGCAGUUUCCAAAGAAUUACGGACUCCAAGUCCGAGGCUAUGCUGGAAUAGUUACUGCCUUUUUCUAUUAGGUAGUUGAGUACUAUUAGGAAUCAUUUUUCUUUCCUGUUAGGAUUUUGUGAGAUUAGGAAAGUGGAGAAAAAAUCCGGACUAGCGUGAGUUUUCUUUCUCUAGUGGGCUUGGCCGCAAGAGGAAUCAAUUCAUUAACCUUUUUGGUGGCUAGAAACGCAGAGGAGAGAAAAUUGUACUUUUGAUCUUUGACAUUUCUUGCCUUUUGGCAAAAUUUGGAGAAAAUCAACGAAAGCCACAAUUGUUGACUUGUUCUACUUUUUCUUUCUUUGACCGAAAUUGUGAGACAAGAUUUGACAAUUUUUC
rnacentral:lncRNA from 1 species